rnacentral:rRNA from 1 species
AUUGAACGCUGGCGGCAUGCCUUACACAUGCAAGUCGAACGGUAGAGGGGGCAACCCCUUGAGAGUGGCGAACGGGUGAGUAAUGCAUCGGAACGUGCCCAGUCGUGGGGGAUAGCCCGGGGAAACCCGGAUUAAUACCGCAUACGACCUGCGGGGGAAAGCGGGGGAACGAAAGGCCCCGAGCGCUUGGAGCGGCCGAGGUCGGAUUAGGUAGUUGGUGGGGUAAAGGCCUACCAAGCCUGCGAUCCGUAGCUGGUCUGAGAGGACGACCAGCCACACUGGGACUGAGACACGGCCCAGACUCCUACGGGAGGCAGCAGUGGGGAAUUUUGGACAAUGGGCGCAAGCCUGAUCCAGCCAUGCCGCGUGCGGGAAGAAGGCCUUCGGGUUGUAAACCGCUUUUGUCAGGGAAGAAAUCUCUUGGGUUAAUACCCUGGGGGGAUGACGGUACCUGAAGAAUAAGCACCGGCUAACUACGUGCCAGCCGCCGCCGUAA